GAUGAACGCUGGCGGCGUGCCUAAUACAUGCAAGUAGAACGCUGAAGGAAGGAGCUUGCUCUUUCCGGAUGAGUUGCGAACGGGUGAGUAACGCGUAGGUAACCUGCCUGGUAGCGGGGGAUAACUAUUGGAAACGAUAGCUAAUACCGCAUAACAGUAGAUGUUGCAUGAUAGCUACUUAAAAGGUGCAAUUGCACCACUACCAGAUGGACCUGCGGUGUAUUAGCUAGUUGGUGAGGUAACGGCUCACCAAGGCGACGAUACAUAGCCGACCUGAGAGGGUGGUCGGCCAGCCUGGGACGGUGACAUGGCCCAGUCUCCUUCGGGUGGCAGCAGUAGGGAAACGUCGGCCAGGGGCGGAAGUCUUACCGAGCUACGCCGCGGGAGUGUAGAAGGUUUUCGGGUCGUAAAGCUCGGUUGUCAGGGAAGAACGAGUGUGAGAGUGGAAAGUUCACACUGUGACGGUAUCUUACCAGAAAGGGACGGCUAACUACGUG
rnacentral:rRNA from 1 species